AACGGGGGGGGCAAGCGUUAAUCGGAAUUAUUGGGCGUAAAGAGCUCGUAGGCGGUUUGUCGCGUCUGCUGUGAAAACCCGAGGCUCAACCUCGGGCCUGCAGUGGGUACGGGCAAACUAGAGUGCGGUAGGGGAGAUUGGAAUUCCUGGUGUAGCGGUGGAAUGGGCAGAUAUCAGGAGGAACACCGAUGGCGAAGGCAGAUCUCUGGGCCGUAACUGACGCUGAGGAGCGAAAGCGUGGGGAGCGAACAGG
rnacentral:rRNA from 1 species